AUUGAACGCUGGCGGCAGGCCUAACACAUGCAAGUCGAGCGAGCGGCGGACGGGUGAGUAAUGUAUGGGGACUGCCCGAUAGAGGGGGAUAACUACUGGAAACGGUGGCUAAUACCGCAUACUAUCGGAUAACCCAUAUGGGAUUAGCUAGUAGGCGGGGUAAAGGCGCACCUAGGCGACGAUCUCGAGCUGGUCUGAGAGGAUGAUCAGCCACACUGAAACUAGGACACGGCCCAGAGUCCUACGGAGGCAGCAGUGGGGUAUAUUGCACAAUGGGAAAAAGCCUGAUGCAGCCAGGCGGCGUAUAUGAAGAAGGCCUUAGGGUUGUAAAGUACUUUCAGCGGGGAGGCGUUACCCGAAGAAGAAGCACCGGCUAACUCCGUGCCAGCAGCCGCGGUAAUAC
rnacentral:rRNA from 1 species